rnacentral:rRNA from 1 species
UCGGGAAUAUUGCGCAAUGGAGGAAACUCUGACGCAGUGACGCCGCGUGCAGGAAGAAGGUUUUCGGAUUGUAAACUGCUUUAGACAGGGAAGAAACAAGACAGUACCUGUAGAAUAAGCUCCGGCUAACUACGUGCCAGCAGCCGCGGUAAUACGUAGGGAGCAAGCGUUAUCCGGAUUUAUUGGGUGUAAAGGGUGCGUAGACGGGAAUGCAAGUUGGUUGUGAAAUCCCUCGGCUCAACCGAGGAAUUGCAACCAAAACUAUAUUUCUUGAGUGCUGGAGAGGAAAGUGGAAUUCCUAGUGUAGCGGUGAAAUGCGUAGAUAUUAGGAGGAACACCAGUGGCGAAGGCGACUUUCUGGACAGUAACUGACGUUGAGGCACGAAAGUGUGGGGAGCAAACAGG